GGGGAAUAUUGCGCAAUGGGGGAAACCCUGACGCAGCAAUACCGCGUGAGUGAAGAAGGUUUUCGGAUCGUAAAGCUCUGUUAUUGGGGAAGAAACAAAUGACGGUACCUGAUGAAUAAGCCACGGCUAACUACGUGCCAGCAGCCGCGGUAAUACGUAGGUGGCAAGCGUUAUCCGGAUUUACUGGGUGUAAAGGGCGUGUAGGCGGGACUGCAAGUCAGAUGUGAAAACUAUGGGCUCAACCCAUAGCCUGCAUUUGAAACUGUGGUUCUUGAGUGAUGGAGAGGCAGGCGGAAUUCCGUGUGUAGCGGUGAAAUGCGUAGAUAUACGGAGGAACACCAGUGGCGAAGGCGGCCUGCUGGACAUUAACUGACGCUGAGGCGCGAAAGCGUGGGGAGCAAACA
rnacentral:rRNA from 1 species